rnacentral:rRNA from 1 species
AUUGAACGCUAGCGGGAUGCUUUACACAUGCAAGUCGAACGGCAGCGCAGACUUCGGUCUGGCGGCGAGUGGCGAACGGGUGAGUAAUAUAUCGGAACGUACCCAGUAGCGGGGGAUAACUACUCGAAAGAGUGGCUAAUACCGCAUACGUCCUACGGGAGAAAGCAGGGGACCUUCGGGCCGUUCGCACUAUUGGAGCGGCCGAUAUCGGAUUAGCUAGUUGGUGGGGUUAAAGGGCCU